GACGAACGCUGGCGGCGUGCCUAAUACAUGCAAGUAGGACGCAGUUGCGAACGGGUGAGUAACGCGUAGGUAACUACCUAUUAGAGGGGGAUAACUAUUGGUAACGAUAGCUAAUACCGCAUACUCGUAGAUGGACCUGCGUUGUAUUAGCUAGUAGGUAGGGUAAAGACCUACCUAGGCAACGAUACAUAGCCGACCUUAGAAGGGUGUCGGUCCAACUUGGAAUGAGGCACGGCUCAGACUCCUUAGGGAGGCAGCAAUAGGGAAUCAUCGGCAAAUGGGCGAACGCUGGCCGAACAACUCCGCGUGAGUGAAGAAGGUUUUCGGAACGUAAAGCUCUGUUAUUAAGGGAGCGGUACUAAACCAGAAAGGGACGGCUAACUACGUGCCAGCAGCCGCGGUAAUUC
rnacentral:rRNA from 1 species